CGUUUCCAUUCCUUUCUCCCCAUUUCUAUUUGUUUUCUCUUCAAAUAGGGUUUCGGUUCAGAUUAGACAGAUUUACAACAUGAGAAGAUCAAAGAGAACGGCAAUUCAUAACGAGGCCGCCGUCCCCACCGUCACCAUUUCAGACCUCCCAAAUCCAAUCACGUGCGACAUUCUAUCUCGACUCCCUCUCAACUCCAUCUUCACCAGCAAGCGAGUUUGCAGGUCCUGGCGCGACCUCACUCUCGAACCCUACUUCGCCAAAUUGCAUCUCUCAAGGUCUCCUCCUCUCAGCCUCAUCUCCUACCACACCGGUAAUGAUAAUAAUAACUCCCCCUCCUCUCACUUCGAAAUUAUCCCGCUCCCCGAUCCCCCUGUUGUAGAUCGCCCCAGCGCCGCCAUGAAAUUCAAAACUGACAUCUACUUCCCACAUAUACAUAUAGUAGCCUCGUGUAAUGGGUCAAUUUUGUUGUCAAAUUACUCGUCUAGUAAUGACCUUGUUAUUGUGUGUAACCCUCUUAGAGAUCACCAUGUUAUUCUUCCUAAACCUCCGAAAUUGGCACCACCGCAAGCUGAGAGAUCAGUCGGAUUUGGGUUUGGGUAUAGUCCAGCUACUGAUCUUUACAAGGUGUUAAGAUUCACUCAUAGAUUGGGCUUUGACAUUUAUACAAUUGGGAUUGAUGUUGAGUGGAGGAGCAUAGACACUGGGCUGCCACCCAUUCUUUUUACCACGAAUUUUGUUUUUCUGAAUGGGUUUCUUUACUGGUUAGGCUUGAGGAAUGCAUGGUUGAUUUGCUAUUUUGAUAUCGAGAAAGAGCAAUUCGGAAGCUUCCCCUUGCCUUCUCACAUUGGAAGCAAUUGUAGGUGUCUUGAGGUUGUAGAUAAUCGGUUGUACAUUCACAACAAGCAUCUUGGAGAAUGGAGAUUCUGGGCUAUGAAAGAUUACGGAGACUUUGGGUCCUGGACUUUGGAAUGGGUCAUUGAAGCACAUAUUACUUACAGGUUUAAAGGAUUUGUGAGGCCACUGAAAAUGUUGAAAGAUGGAACUCUGUUGAUGAUGUUCAACAAUUCUAGUUCACAAACAUAUGCCGGCAAGACUGCUUUAACAUCUUACAAUCUAGAAACAAGAGUGUUGGAAGAGAUUAUGUUUUGUGGUAUUUUACCCACUUCAGUUGCUGAUGUACCGUGCUUCCCUCCGAUGGAUGCUUUGAAAUGACAAUGUUCAGUCUUUUUUUCCCAUAUUACAUGUCCUAAUCAUAUGGAUGCUUUGAAAUGACAAUGUUUUAAUCUUUGAGUUAAGAUGCGCAGAUCCUGAUAUGUGGGAAAGUUUGUUAAUGCAAGAACAAAUAUCAAGAUCUUGUUCAAUGUUGCUUCAGAAAUCGAAAGUCACCUUUUGGUAUAGUUGUGCAGGACCUCUAUGGAAAUGUUGAAGCAAAGCUGGACUCACCUCAUUGGCUAUUUAAAGUUCUUUAUCUUGUUAAUGCCUGUAGCUAAGCUUGAACUUCAAUAGUUUUGGGGCUGUUCAACUACACAUAGAUUUCAACUAAUGCUAGUGUUUUUUUUGAACGGUUUCUACCAAUGCUAGUUAAGUACGGUGAAUUUUUCUGUUUGGUUCUAGUGCUAUACCAUGUAACCCGAAGCUAAAUCUAUUUGGACCUUGAAUCUAUUAGUAUUUAUGUAUGUUUAAGUA